UACGGCCAUAUGUUGAAACACCGGUACUCGUAAGGUCACUGAUGUUAAGCAACGUUGAGCCUGAUCAGUAGCGAGAUGGGAACCGCUUGGGAUAACCAGGUGCUGUAAG